CCCCUAGAUGUUCUGGGCCGCACGCGCGCUACACUGACGAAUGCAACGAGCUUAUAACCUUGGCCGAAAGGUCUGGGUAAUCUCCAAAUUUCGUCGUGAUGGGGAUAGAUUAUUGCAAUUAUUAAUCUUCAACGAGGAAUGCCUAGUAAGCGCAAGUCAUCAGCUUGCGUUGAUUACGUCCCUGCCCUUUGUACACACCGCCCGUCGCUCCUACCGAUUGAAUGGUCCGGUGAAGCGUUCGGACCGUGGCCUUUGGACGGUUCGCCGUCUGUUGGCUGCGGGAAGUUAGUUAAACCUUAUCAUUUAGAGGAAGGAGAAGUCGUAACA
rnacentral:rRNA from 1 species